rnacentral:lncRNA from 1 species
CCAAGAUCGGGGACCCGGCGGCGGCUCCGCGGGGGAAACAGCGAGGCUGGCGCAGCGCCGAGGCCGCGGCCCUGGGGGCCCGCAAUCCACGCCACGGAAUCCCCGAGUGAGCAGGGGUGAGCGCAGCCACUGCCCAACGCAAACCGUGAAGAAGCUUCUGGAAGAGCAGAGGCGCCGCCAGCAGCAGCAGCCCGACGCUGGCGGGGUGCAGGGACAAUUUCUCCCUCCCCCAGAGCAGCCCCUGACCCCAUCUGUGAAUGAGGCUGUGACUGCACACUCGGAGACUGUGGGUUCUGGACCUAGCAGCCUGGGCUUUCCAGACUGGGACCCCAACACGCAUGCUGCCUACACUGACAGCCCCUACUCUUGCCCUGCUUCUGCUGCCGAAAAUUUCCUGCCUCCUGACUUCUACCCACCCUCGGACCCAGGGCAGCCGUGCCCAUUUCCCCAGGGCAUGGAGGUGAGAUACAGAGUGGGUACAGGAUGCUGAAGGGCCCCUAAAAAUUCGCAGUUGCACUCCUGCAGUAUUCUGAGAUGUCUGGAGCUCAGUUACGAUUCCCUUUUCCAGGCCGGGCGUGGUGGCUCACACCUGUAAUCCCAGCACUUUGGGAGGCUGAGGCAG